rnacentral:rRNA from 1 species
CUACGGGACGCUCCAGUGAGGAAUAUUGCACAAUGGGGGGAACCCUGAUGCAGCAACGCCACGUGGAGGAUGACGCAUUUCGGUGUGUAAACUCCUUUUAUAUGUCAAGAAAAUGACGGUAGCAUAUGAAUAAGCACCGGCUAACUCCGUGCCAGCAGCCGCGGUAAUACGGAGGGUGCAAGCGUUACUCGGAAUCACUGGGCGUAAAGGACGCGUAGGCGGGUUGGAAAGUCAGGUGUGAAAUCCUACAGCUUAACUGUAGAACUGCACUUGAAACUUCUAAUAUAGAGUAUGGGAGGGGGAGAUGGAAUUAGUGGUGUAGGGGUAAAAUCCGUAGAUAUCACUAGGAAUACCUAAAGCGAAGGCGAUCUCCUGGAACAUUACUGACGCUAAGGCGUGAAAGCGUGGGGAGCAAACAGGAUUAGAUACCCGUGUAGUC